GACGGACGCUGGCGGCGUGCUUAACACAUGCAAGUCGAACGGAAAGGCCCUGCUUUUGUGGGGUGCUCGAGUGGCGAACGGGUGAGUAACACGUGAGUAACCUGCCCUUGACUUUGGGAUAACUUCAGGAAACUGGGGCUAAUACCGGAUAGGAGCUCCUGCUGCAUGGUGGGGGUUGGAAAGUUUCGGCGGUUGGGGAUGGACUCGCGGCUUAUCAGCUUGUUGGUGGGGUAGUGGCUUACCAAGGCUUUGACGGGUAGCCGGCCUGAGAGGGUGACCGGCCACAUUGGGACUGAGCUACGGCCCAGACUCCUACGGGAGGCAGCAGUGGGGAAUAUUGCACAAUGGGCGGAAGCCUGAUGCAGCAACGCCGCGUGCGGGAUGACGGCCUUCGGGUUGUAAACCGCUUUCGCCUGUGACGAAGCGUGAGUGACGGUAAUGGGUAAAGAAGCACCGGCUAACUACGUG
rnacentral:rRNA from 1 species